rnacentral:tRNA from 1 species
CGUUCAGUAGGUUAACGGUAGACCAGGAGUCCCUAAAACUCUGUGUGACGGUUCGAAUCCGUCCUGAACGA